rnacentral:tRNA from 1 species
GGACGUGUAGCGGGGCCCCUCGAUCUCAUACAUCGAGGGGCCCCGCGUUCGUGUUACAGCAUGCCCGC